CAUUGAAACACUAGUUCUCAUGCAAUCACCAAAGUUAAGCAACAUUGAACUUGGUCAGUACCUAGAUGGGUGACCACUUAGGAAGACUUAGUACUGUAAG